UUAUCUACUUAGCACAUAUCUACUAAAAUUGGAACGAUACAGAGAAGAUUAGCAUGACCCCUGGGCAAGGAUGACCCGCAAAUUCGUGAAGCGUUCCGUAUUUUU
ensembl:snRNA U6 U6 spliceosomal RNA